UACGUAGGGUGCGAGCGUUGUCCGGAUUUAUUGGGCGUAAAGGGCGCGUAGGCGGUCACGCACGUCCGUUGUGAAAUCGCUCGGCUCAACUGGGCGGGGUCAGUGGAUACGGCGUGGCUGGAGCAAGCUAGGGGGCAAUGGAAUUCCCGGUGUAGUGGUGGAAUGCGUAGAUAGUCGGGAGGAACACCAGUGGCGAAGGCGGUUGCCUGGAGCUUUGCUGACGCUGAUGCGCGAAAGCGUGGGGAGCGAUCCGG
rnacentral:rRNA from 1 species